rnacentral:rRNA from 1 species
CAGUCGCCGCGGUAAGACGAACCGUGCGAACGUUAUUCGGAAUCACUGGGCUUAAAGCGCGUGUAGGCGGAUGGGAGCGUCGGCCUCUGAAAUCCCCCGGCUCAACCGGGGAAGUGGAGCCGAAACGACCCGUCUGGAGGGACGUAGGGGGACCUGGAACUUCCGGUGGAGCGGUGAAAUGCGUUGAGAUCGGAAGGAACGCCCGUGGCGAAAGCGAGGUCCUGGACGUCUGCUGACGCUGAGACGCGAAAGCCAGGGGAGCGAACGGGAUUAGAUACCCCCGUAGUCCCUGUCUCUUAUU